UCCGGUUUGUCACCGGCAGUCUCAUUAGAGUGCCCUUUCGUAGCAACUAAUGACAAGGGUUGCGCUCGUUGCGCCACUUAAGGCAACACCUCACGGCACGAGCUGACGACAGCCAUGCACCACCUGUGCACGAGCCCCGAAGGGCUGCCGUAUUUCUACGACAUUCCCGUGCAUGUCGAGCCCAGGUAAGGUUCUUCGCGUCGCGUCGAAUUAAACCACAUGCUCCGCUGCUUGUGCGGGCCCCCGCCUAUUCCUUUGAGUUUUAACCUUGCGGCCGUAGUCCCCAGGCGGCGAACUUAAUGCGUUAGCUGCGGCACUGAUCGGGUCAAUCCGACCAACACCUAGUUCGCAACGUUUAGGGCGUGGACUAC
rnacentral:misc_RNA from 1 species